rnacentral:rRNA from 1 species
ACUCCUACGGGAGGCAGCAGUGGGGAAUAUUGGACAAUGGGCGAAAGCUGAUCCAGCCAUGCCGCGUGUGUGAAGAAGGUCUUCGGAUUGUAAAGCACUUUAAGUUUGAGGAGGAACGGCUAGUAAGUUUAUACCUUGCUGUUUUGACGUUACCCUCACCAAUAAGCGCCCGGCUAACUUCGUGCCAGCAGCCGCGGUAAUAC